ensembl:lncRNA novel transcript, sense intronic to LIPC
CCAACCAUCACCUUCCCAGGCCAAGGUCUUAGGUUCCCCUGGAACCCCUUUGGCUUUACUCCCUUCCUGGGCUGGGGGAAAGGGUGGGGAUAUAAGCUGGUACUUCCAAAGCAGAAAGCUGGGGUUUGGGGCUGACAGAGCUGACCUUGAGCUUGAGCUCCAUGGAGUACCCAGCCCAGGUCAAAUGGGGUCAGGAAGCCAUCUGUGCCUUCUGGAUGGCUCUGUCUGAAUGAUUCACUUCUGCCUAUGGUGGGUGGAAGUUCAUGGUUUUACUCCCACAUGGUGACCACAGUGCAUGGCAAUUUUCUAGUCAACAGGUGGGGUUGGGGCCUCUGCUACACACAAGAGGCUUCUUUCUUCAAGUUUAAGACUUCUGAUGCUCACAAGACCCUCCCAUGCCCUUACCACGUGCAGCGCUCACCCCCAGGGCCUGGGGUUUGGUGAGAUGUGUCGCCCACAUGGGCUGGGAUCAUAUUUUCCCCAGGGAAGAUGAAAGCCCUCACCCUCUCACAAAGCCAAUUGCUAAAUUUUCAAGAAUUUUGCAAGCUGAUUUUUAAACAUAGCCAUUAUUUUAAAAUUACAUUAUAGAACUUACAAUGAAACAAAUGUUUAAAAUGACAGUAAUAAAUACUCAAAACUCCUCUGUUCUCAUUUUA